rnacentral:misc_RNA from 1 species
GUCUGCCUUACUUCGUUGCCGAGGCUACAAUGCCUGGGAAGUCUGGGUUUGACUUUAAUGGUGCAUCUCAAUCCUUCAACACAUUGGCUGAGUACUUGUUUGGUAAGAACACGAAGAAGGAGAGUAUGGCAAUGACGACACCCGUAAUCACUCGUAGAACUCAAUCUGAUGGGGAGAAAAUGGAAAUGACUACUCCAGUGAUAACUAAAAGGGCGGAAGAUCAGGAGAAGUGGAGGAUGUCCUUCGUCAUGCCCUCCAAGUAUGGUUCGGACUUGCCACUACCGAAGGAUUCCUCUGUUACUAUCAAAGAGGUGCCUCGGAAAACUGUUGCAGUUGUUGCUUUUUCAGGUUUUGUGAAUGACGAAGAAGUUAAAGCUCGAGAAUCAAGACUUCGAACUGCACUAAAGGGAGAUGCAGAGUUUCAGGUAAAAGAUGGUGCCUUGGUAGAAGUUGCACAGUAUAAUCCACCAUUU